GGGGCCAUCUCUGGAGAGCUCUAGGAAGCUAAGGGCAGAUGGAGGACCCCAGAAUGUUAGGAGGAAGCAGUGGGAAGCAGAAUUUUAAGAUGACUUCCAAGGACUUUCCUUUGGGUCAUCGCCUCCUGAUGAGUGUGGGUGGAACCUGUGAAUGAGAUGAGAUUCAUUCCUGUCUAUGUUCUGUUAUAUGGUAGAAGGAAGGUUGCAAAUGUAAUGAAGCUUCGGAAAUCAGUUGACCUUAAGAGGGAGAUUAUCUAGGUGG
rnacentral:lncRNA from 10 species